GAUACAGCCACCUUGAAAACCAGUUUGUCUCACCCAGGCACUGACACCUGAAUGCUGAGCGUGAGCCCAUGAAGAUGAACCCUUUAACUAAGGUGAAGAAGAUCAAAGAGAUGAAUGAACGAGAGGUCCAGCUUGGGGUGGCCGAUAAGGUGUCCUGGCACUUUGAGUACAAGGACAGUGCCUGGAUCUUCCUGGGAGGGAUUCCUUGUGAACUAACUGAAGGGGACAUCAUCUGUAUGUUCUCACAAUAUAGGGAGAUUGUUAACAUUAAUCUCGUGCGGGACAAGAAGACUGGGAAAUCCGAAGGAUGCUGUUUCCUCUGCUAUGAAGACCAGAGGAGCACAAUUCUGGCCUUUGACAAUUUUAAUGGGAUCAAGAUCAAAGGAAGAACUAUCCGAGUAGAUCAUAUGUCUAACUAUAGGGCUCCUAAGGACUCAGAAGAAAUGGAUGUGACCAGAGAGCUCCAGGAGAAGGGCUGUGGUGUUCGUACCCCCUCACCAAGUUUGUCUGAGAGCUCUGAAGAUGAAAAACCAACAAAAAAGCACAAAAACCACAAAAAGAAAAGAAAGAAAAAGAGAAAACUGAUCGGGAGGUACAGGCAGAGCAACCAUCCUCUUCAUCACGCAGAAGCAAGACAGUAAAGGAAAAGGAUGACCCUGGCCCUAAGAAGCACAGCAUCAAGAACUUGGAGAGAGCUCUGAAGUCAGAGCCCAGGGAGGGGCGGAAGCUCCCCAGGACUGCCUACUCUGGUGCAGCAGAGGACCUAGAGAGGGAGCUGAAGAAGGGGAAACCCAAGCACGAGCACAAGUCCUCAAGUCGGAGGGAGACAAGAGAAGAAAAGACCAGGGAUAGGGACAGAGGACGGAGUUCAGACACACAUUCUAGCCGGCACAAUGGGUGUUGUGAAGGGCAUGGUCAUAGAAGUAGAAGUAGGAACCAAGAUAAAUCCCAUAGGCAUAAAAGGCCCCAGUGUUCCCGGGAGCGGGAGUCUUCCAAUCCCAGUGACUGUAGGCAUUACUGA